GAUGAACGCUGGCGGCGUGCCUAACACAUGCAAGUCGAGCGAUUUACUUCGGUAAAGAGCGGCGGACGGGUGAGUAACGCGUGGGUAACUUGCCCUGUACACACGGAUAACAUACCGAAAGGUAUGCUAAUACGAGAUAAUAUACUUUUAUCGCAUGGUAGAAGUAUCAAAGCUUUUGCGGUACAGGAUGGACCUGCGUCUGAUUAGCUAGUUGGUAAGGUAACGGCUUACCAAGGCGACGAUCAGUAGCCGACCUGAGAGGGUGAUCGGCCACAUUGGAACUGAGACACGGUCCAAACUCCUACGGGAGGCAGCAGUGGGGAAUAUUGCACAAUGGGCGAAAGCCUGAUGCAGCAACGCCGCGUGAGCGAUGAAGGCCUUCGGGUCGUAAAGCUCUGUCCUCAAGGAAGAUAAUGACGGUACUUGAGGAGGAAGCCCCGGCUAACUACGUGCCAGCCGCCGCAGUAA
rnacentral:rRNA from 1 species